rnacentral:rRNA from 1 species
UAUGAAGGGGGCUAGCGUUGUUCGGAAUUACUGGGCGUAAAGCGCGCGCAGGCGGUCCUUCAAGUCAGAGGUGAAAGCCCAGAGCUCAACUCUGGAAUGGCCUUUGAAACUGGAGGACUUGGGUACGGGAGAGGUGAGUGGAAUUCCGAGUGUAGAGGUGAAAUUCGUAGAUAUUCGGAAGAACACCAGUGGCGAAGGCGGCUCACUGGCCCGUUACCGACGCUCAGGCGCGACAGCGUGGGGAGCAAACAGG